CCCACUUAUUUAACACCUUCUUAUCCGCCUGGCCCCUGUCUGCUCGGUUUUGGGUUGGGGUGACCGCGGAGCAUAAAAUAGCCUCCACGAAAGAAGGGAUGAUUCCCUCAUUUUAGAACUACACUUCCAAAGACUAACAAAUUAAUUUUAAGUGAUCCGAUACCCGUAUUCGAUCAACGAACCAAGUUACCCUGGGGAUAACAGCGCAAUCUACCUCAAGAGCCCCUAUCGACAGGUGGGUUUACGACCUCGAUGUUGGAUCAGGGUAUCCCAGUGGUGCAGCAGCUACCAAAGGUUCGUUUGUUCAACGAUUAA
rnacentral:rRNA from 1 species